rnacentral:rRNA from 1 species
GGAGUUAGCCGGUGCUUCUUCUGUGAGUGAUGUCCUUCCUGCCGGCUAUUAACCCGCAGGCCUUCUUCCUCACUGAAAGUGCUUUACAACCCGAAGGCCUUCUUCACACACGCGGCAUGGCUGGAUCAGGGUUGCCCCCAUUGUCCAAUAUUCCCCACUGCUGCCUCCCGUAGGAGUCUGGGCCGUGUCUCAGUCCCAGUGUGGCUGAUCAUCCUCUCAGACCAGCUACGGAUCGUCGCCUUGGUGAGCCGUUACCUCACCAACCAGCUAAUCCGACAUAGGCUCAUCCGAUAGCGCGAGGCCCGAAGGUCCCCCGCUUUCCCCCGUAGGGCGUAUGCGGUAUUAGCCUGGGUUUCCCCAGGUUAUCCCCCACUACCGGGCAGAUUCCUAUGCAUUACUCACCCGUCCGCCGCUCGCCACCAGGGAGCAAGCUCCCCGUGCUGCCGCUCGACUUGCAUGUGUUAGGCCUGCCGCCACGCGUUCAUCUGAGCCANAGACUAACUACUCUACGUACGUAGACGGCGGUCGGUCGACGGACGGCG